rnacentral:rRNA from 1 species
UAGGGAAUCUUCGGCAAUGGGGGGAACCCUGACCGAGCAACGCCGCGUGAGUGAAGAAGGUUUUCGGAUCGUAAAGCUCUGUUGUUAAGGAAGAACGAGUGUGAGAAUGGAAAGUUCAUGCUGUGACGGUACUUAACCAGAAAGGGACGGCUAACUACGUGCCAGCAGCCGCGGUAAUACGUAGGUCCCGAGCGUUGUCCGGAUUUAUUGGGCGUAAAGCGAGCGCAGGCGGUUAGAAAAGUCUGAAGUGAAAGGCAGUGGCUCAACCAUUGUAGGCUUUGGAAACUGUUUAACUUGAGUGCAGAAGGGGAGAGUGGAAUUCCAUGUGUAGCGGUGAAAUGCGUAGAUAUAUGGAGGAACACCGGUGGCGAAAGCGGCUCUCUGGACUGCAACUGACACUGAGGCACGAAAGCGUGGGUAGCAAACAGG